ACUACGGGUGGCUGCAGUGGGGAAUAUUGCACAAUGGGCGCAAGCCUGAUGCAGCCAUGCCGCGUGUGUGAAGAAGGCCUUCGGGUUGUAUAGCACUUUCAGCGGGGAGGAAGGCGGUGAGGUUAAUAACCUCAUCGAUUGACGUUACCCGCAGAAGAAGCACCGGCUAACUCCGUGCCAGCAGCCGCGGUAAUACGGAGGGUGCAAGCGUUAAUCGGAAUUACUGGGCGUAAAGCGCACGCAGGCGGUCUGUCAAGUCGGAUGUGAAAUCCCCGGGCUCAACCUGGGAACUGCAUUCGAAACUGGCAGGCUAGAGUCUUGUAGAGGGGGGUAGAAUUCCAGGUGUAGCGGUGAAAUGCGUAGAGAUCUGGAGGAAUACCGGUGGCGAAGGCGGCCCCCUGGACAAAGACUGACGCUCAGGUGCGAAAGCGUGGGGAGCAAACAGGAUUAGAUACCCGUGUAGUC
rnacentral:rRNA from 1 species